UUGUUUUUUUUUAUUUGGACACCACUUAUCGUUCAGUUAAAUUAAUUUGUGUCCAUGUUUUAAUUGAAAUAUUCUAACAUGCAAACAUCUGUCUGUCAGUCUUUUUGCUCUCUGCUUUUUCCUUUCUAUAACUCAAACUUGUCGUAUCUUUCUUGACAAUCUAUAUUCUUUGGAAGCUCUUUUUUUUUUGUUGUUCUAAUAUUCUUUGGAAGCUUUUGGAAGCUUUUUUCGGUUAAGAUACACACUUCUUAGACCACCCGCAACACGGGAACGUAAGUGGAACUUAACGCGGAAUCCUAAGCAAAUCCGAGUAUAAUAAUAGUUUAUUUUUUUUUUAGCUAAGAAAGAGUCCUUAAACAAGGUGUUUAAGGACUUAAUCCUUACGUGCGUGGCAACAGCUGAUAGGCGAGGGGUGGGGGUGUCUUUCGCGUGUGGGAAAGAAAAGAAUCACUUUUUUUUUCCAUCACGAAAAAAAGAGCUCUCGCGAUAUCAAAGGCGAUUCGGCGAUAGGAGAAGGGUGAAGGUAAAUCGGAGCUUUCACGUCAAUAUUUUUGCAUUUGGAGUUGUUGCAUGUUGUUUUCAUCUGUUUUUAGGGUUCUAUCGAGGGGUUUAAAUGGAUUUAGGGUUUCAAAUCGAGUUGGGGAUUUUUAUCGAAUUAGGGUUUUCGUCUAGGUUUGCUAUUUUCUUCAUCUCGAUUUGCUUCUUUGUUGUUUUUGUCGUUAUUAAGGUUCGGGAUUGAGUUAUAAAUCGUUAUAGGGUUCGGGAUUGAGUUCUAAAUCGAUUUAGGGUUCGGGUAUAGGGUUUUAAAUCGAUUAGUUUUUGUUCUUGCAGGUGUUGAAAUGGAGGAAGAAUUAAAAGAUAUGAAAGCACACAAAGAUUACUACAACAUGCUUUAUUUCGUUGCAUAUGCGCAACAGGGUAUUCCUAAACUCUGCCCCUGUGGAUCAAUCACGAAGGAAGUCGUUGAUGAAGAGGACACAUAUGACUACCUCCCUGGGAAAAGAUACUUCAUAUGCAAAGACGAAGGGGUAUAUAGUGUUUUCUGUUACUAACAUUCUUCUUCUUCGAAAUGAAUUUGCAGUUUGACAAUGGUUAUUAUGUUUUGGCAGAAUGGCGGGCUGCAUUUCAGGCAGCCAUGGGUUAUGGGUAUGCAACAAGAGGUUGAGAGGCUGAAAAUAAAAGUCUACGAGCAGGAGAAGCUUCUGAGAGAGUGUCAGGCGCUUAAGGUGAGUUCAAAUCUAAAUUGUAACAUGAAAUUGAUAGUUGUUUGUACAAACUUUGUAACAUAAUGAUUGGUUUGUCUGAUAUAUGUUUAGGAGCAGGUGAGGAUGCUGCAUAUGCGUCUGACUGAACUUGAGACAGGCCAAAGGAGAUUAGUGUCUAAACUUACCCAUUAACUUAAGUUUGUAGUUUGAAAACAAUAACAGUAAACCAUCAUUUAUCACUAAAUCUUUUCCUUGUUUGAACUUUAAAAAUUUCUAGUUCAAACGUAAGUUUGUAGUUUGAGAACAAUAACUUUUGUCCUUUGAACUAGUUAACUUUCUGGUGUAAAUUCGAUAGUGAAAUGAUAGGUUAUAAAUGCAAAGUAAACCACCAUUAAAUUGUGUCUAACUGCUUAUUUCGGGGUAAAGCUUCAUUAAAUUGUCUGUAGCUGUAAUGAUAUGACAGUUUCCUACUAGGAUUCAAUAGAUUUGCGUAAAUAAUCCCUUAUUUAGUCGCCUCCCUUUGCUAGUUGAGUAAAACAGAGUCUUCUUCCUAAAUGGCAAACUCCACAAGUUUUGUUAACCUUUUAGGCAGCCAAGGGGUAGUUGACCUUGACUCAUUGGAACCUCUUGGCUUUAGCAGCCAAUGUUCCGAUGAGUCUACUGUCAAAGAGAGGAGAAAAUGGUCACCGAAGGAGGAUAUAAUACUCAUUGGUGCUUGGCUCAACACCAGCAAAGACCUAAUAGUCAGUAAUGAACAGAAAGCUGGUGCGUUCUGGAAUAGGAUUGUAGAGUACUACAACUCCAGUCCUCUACUAGUUGGGACAAUCCCAAGAGAACUUGGGCAAUGCAAGGAAAGAUGGGCUAGAAUCAAUGAUUUGGUGUGUAAGUUUUCUGGCCGCUACGAGAUGGCACUGAGGAGAAGCGGGCAAAAUGACAACGAUGUGAUGAAGGAUGCCUUGGAUAUCUUCUACAAUGACAAGGGCAUUAAGUUCAACUUGUAACAUGUGUGGAGGGAGCUUAGGCAUGAUGUGAAAUGGUGCUCCACCUAUCUCGAGAAGGACAGUGGUAAGGACAAGCGCAAAACAAUUGAUUCUGAUGCUCAAGGGUCAGUGACAGAGCCACAAGAGAGACCCAUAGGAGUUAAGGCAGCUAAGGCUGCUGGCAAGAGGAAGAAAAUUGGAAAAGAAGAAGAAUUAGGACAACUAAAAGAAAUGAUGGAGACCAAAAAGCAAAUCUCAAAUCAGAGUUUGCUUGCAAGUUUGGUUGCAAAGACCGAGCCACUCUCUGAGACGGAAUUAGCUCUGAAAAUGAAAUUAAUGUCUGAGAUGUUGUGAUAAUUGAUGGUUUGUUAACGCUAACUUUAGUGAUGUUUACUUAUCUUUUUACUUUGCUUACGAAUCUCAUUUUCCCUGUUUCAGGUGAAGUACAAGACCAUGUGAGUACUGAAGACAAAAGCUGUUGUAUUUUGGUUUGUUUCUUUGUGCUUUGUUUGUUUCUGCUACUGUUUUCAUGUGAACCAAGUCACGGGUUCUCUGUUGCCCUUUCUUGGCUUUAUAACUAUGUUUGUUAUCUCGGCUUUGUAACUCUACUGCUCUUCUUCUACUACCUUCAAAACUUGUAUCUCUAGUACCUCUGGAACGUGUAACUCUACUACUGAAUUAUAGCCAAAUAUGGGAGAUGCAUUCGAUCAAAGAUUCGAAGCGGCUUUCGAUGAAUGUUUUGAAGAUACAUACAACAACAUCGUGGAGAACCGAACAAAGAAACAGAGCAAACAUGCAUAUGUCGAACGAAACCGCGAAGAGGGCCAUACCCGUCUAUGGAAUGACUACUUCAGUGAAGAUCUUUGGAUAUGACACGCUUUUUUUGGUCCUCCAUGUACCUUAAACGAUAUUAACGUCCUCGAUCGGUCUCCUGUUUUUGAUGACAUUUUACAAGGUCGAGCUCCAAGGGUACAGUACGUGGUCAACGGACACCAGUAUGAUUUUCCGUACUACCUCACAGACGGCAUUUAUCCAAAAUGGUCAACAUUUAUCCAAUCUAUCUCAAACCCUCAAAGUCCUGAAGCACAGUUAUUUGCUAAAGUUCAAGAAUCAACCCGAAAAGAUGUGGAGCGUGCUUUUGGAGUAUUGCAAACUCGAUUUGCAAUAGUGAAAAACCCGGCUAUUUUGUGGGACAAGAGACAAAUAGGGAUGGUUAUGCGAACAUGUAUCAUACUGCAUAAUAUGAUAGUAGAAAAUGAACGCAAUGGAUACACUCAGUAUGAUACAUCAGAGUUUGAAGAA